UCUCCCCCCCUAACCUCACGCUACUCUCUCAUCUCUCUUGCCACUCCCCGCGCCGGCCAUGGCGCGGGCGACGCCAGCCGCCGGUCGCGGCUCUCUUUCUUCUCUCUUUCCCCCUCUACCUCGGUCUCUCUUUCUCUCUUCUGCCCGGAGGCGGCCACUCUCUCUUGGCUACGGAUCUUGACCGCCGGUGGGUAGCACAUCGCCGUCGCCACCUCUCUGACUCCAGUCACCGAGCUCGCCGAGUGAGCGGGGGAGAGUGCAGCGAGUUUGUCCGGGCAGAGAGGGGGGGGGGCAGCGUUAGGCUGCUCGGGACGACGCAGCGGUGACCGGUCAGCGAGCUCUGGGCCACGGCGGUGUCGCCGGGCAGCAGCUGCGAGGGGCAGCAGCGGCGGCGUGUGUGGCUUCCGAACACAGCAGCGACGGCUGCCCGGAAGAGACAGCAGCGGCGGCUGUCCGGCAGAGGCCCUCUCCGCGAAAAGGUAUCGGGAUUCAAGGCGUGACUAUUGAGCAAGAUCCGAAGGGCAUGGAGAGUAUUUUAUUUUUAGUAAAUCUUUACUUAAACGUUGAAUUCGUGUACGGGCUUUUUAUUUGAAACUCGGUCUUCACAAACGGACUUUUAUUAGAGCAAACUUUAUAUUGAAAUAUUACUAUUUUUGUU